GUAGUCCUGGCCGUAAACUAUGCGGGCUAGUUGUCGGAACGGCUUAGGGCCGCUCCGGUAACGCAGGGAAGCCAUUAAGCCCGCCGCCUGGGGAGUACGACCGCAAGGUUGAAACUUAAAGGAAUUGGCGGGGGAGCACCACAAGGGGUGAAGCUUGCGGCUCAAUUGGAGUCAACGCCGGAAAACUCACCAGGGGAGACAGCAGUGUGAAGGCCAAGCUAACGACUUUGCCAGACGCGCUGAGAGGAGGCGCAUGGCCGUCGCCAGCUCGUAUCGUGAGACGUCCGGUCAAGUCCGGGAACGAGCGAGACCUCCAUCCUUAGUUGCAACCCUUAAAGGGGCACACUAAGGAGACCGCCACCGAUUAAGGUGGAGGAAGGAGGAGGCAACGGCAGGUCAGCAUGCCCCGAAACCCCUGGGCCGCACGCGAGCUGCAAUGGCAGGUACAAUGGGAUUUGACCCCGUAAGGGGGAAGCAAUCCUCAAAGCCUGCCUCAGUUGGGAUCGAGGGCUGCAACCCGCCCUCGUGAACCUGGAAUCCCUAGUAAUCGCGUGUCAACACCGCGCGGUGAAUACGUCCCUGCUCCUUGCACACACCGCCCGUCGCUCCAACCGAGUUGGCUUCGGAUGAGGCAUCAGCUUCGGCUGGUGUCGAAUCCGAGGUCGACGAGGUGGGAGAAGUCGUAACAAGGUGGCCGUAGGGGAACCUGCGGCUGGAUCACCUCC
rnacentral:rRNA from 1 species